rnacentral:lncRNA from 1 species
AUAGUUUAUUUAUAGUCAUUUUUUUUUAUUGUUAUUAUCAAAGGGUAUAACAGUAAAAAAGGAGUCAGUGUAAGCAUUUAUGAAACCAAUGAAAUUUAUGUAACCUUUUAUGCAAACCUUGAUAGUGUGGGUGGAUUUUUCCCUUAUCCUUAUUACUAUUUGUUGUCGUUUGAAUUUAAUGAUCUUAUCCCCUAAAAAUCUAAUCUCUUUCAGAAUAAUUUCUUUUUGUGAUUUUUUAUUUCGAAAGCCUAUUUUUAGGCCAUCCGCAUCUGGACCUUUUAGAUUUACGUUUCUAUGGGAUCAUUUGUGAAGUUGUGAAUUUGUUCGAGGUCUACUGGACAUAUUUGAAACCCAGUUAAGCACAUGCAACUUAUAAUGUAAAAGUGGCCAUGCGAUUGCCCCAGUAAAAAUCUACAGACGUAGAAUAAAGCAAUACAGACAUGCAAGCAAGCUAAAACAUUUUCCUUUUGCUAAUGAGAACAUGAAAAUAUAUUUACAGGAUCCUUAAAUUCAUAUGAUGGCCAUACGUGCGAAAAUUAAAGUGUUAUGCUUCAUUCUAUUGAUGCUAUGAAAAAACAUAUUUCGUGCCACGUGCUUUACAUUGAUCAUAUCACUCGUCAUGCAAUAAAAUAUAUUUCUUAUGCAGUAUAAGUGGAAUCAAGUCAUUCUUUUGGGACUUACUUAGAGGGGUUUGGUGUGGAUGGUAAGAGAAACGAUUUAGACUAAGUAUCUAAUAAAUCUGUCGAGACCCAGAUCCAAUGGACUUGUGCGGGAUUUAUUAGAUAAUAUAGCAAGCAAAGAACUUAGGUUAUAGUAUUUAAUACAACUAGGGACCUAUUUGAUAAAUUCCAAAAUUGUAGACAAUUCUUAUACGUGAUUAUCAUGUUACAGUUGUUUAUUAUCUAAACAAUAAAACUUAGAUUAAAAUUAUAAAUUUAUUUUAAUCACAAUUACGCCAUUAUUUAUCUAAAUAUAUAUUAUUUAGUAGCAUAUUAAAAGAAAACCACUUGAAUUGCUAUAUAUAUAACUACCAAAGGGCUUAGGUUAUAAUAUUUAAUACACAACUAGGGUUUUAUUUUGAUGAAUUCCAAACCAAAAUUAUAUAUAUUACUUAUACGUGAUUAUCAUGCUAUAGUUAUUUAUUAUCUAAAAAUUAAAAAAUAAAACUUAGAUUAAAGUUAUCAAUUUAUUUUCAUCACAAUAACGCCAUUAUUUAUCUAAUUGUAUAUUAUUUAGUAGCAUAUUAAAAGAAAACCACUUGAGUUGCAAUGUUUCAUUUCUUCAUGCAAUAUCCAUCCGUAAGAUAAGCAAUAUCCAAUUAAUAAAAGUUUAGCCUAAAUGAAAGUCCAAGAAUAAGCAAAUUCUGUGACUUUUAGGCUAUUAAAGUAGAGCCAACAUGCAUUGCCGAGACGGGAGGGAUCAUGCAGAAAUAAGAGUAGGGAUGGCAAAAAUCCCCACGGGGACGGGUACCCUCGGGGAUUUUCCCCAUUCGGGGAGGGUAUGGGGAUAAUUUCAUACCCAAUUUCUUAUUCGGGGAGGGGACGGAGAAAUUUUUUUACCCAAUUUCUUAUUCGGGGAGGGGACGGGGAUGAGGUGGAAUCCCCAUCCCCUACCCAUUUCCCCAUUUUAAUUUUUAAUUUAAUUUU